AACCCGACUACAUGAAGCUGGAAUCGCUAGUAAUCGCGAAUCAGAAUGUCGCGGUGAAUACGUUCCCGGGUCUUGUACACACCGCCCGUCACACCAUGGGAGUCGGAAAUGCCCGAAGUCAGUGACCCAACCGCAAGGAGGGAGCUGCCGAAGGUGGAGCCGGUAACUGGGGUGAAGUCGUAACAAGGUAUC
rnacentral:rRNA from 1 species